rnacentral:rRNA from 1 species
GCUAGUUGUAUUAUUAGUUAAUGCAAGAUCGACUACGUCGACUAAAGUUCUAGGUAGAAUAAUGAUGAUGACAAUUUUUUACCUAUAUGUCUUGACCAAGUCUCGUGCCAGCAGUCGCGGUAAUACGUGGAAGACUAGUGUUAUUCAUCUUUAUUAGGUUUAAAGGGUACCUAGACGGUAUUUCUAGCCCAAAAUAGGGUACGGAUUUACUAGAGUUUUAUGUGAGGAGGGGAGUACUCGUGGAGUAGAGAUGAAAUUUUGUUAUACUAUGAGGUAACUGGUGGCGGCGAAAGCAACCUUCUAUGUAUAAACUGACGUUGAGGGACGAAGGCUUGGGUAGCAAAUAGGAUUAGAUACCCUAGUAGUCCAAGCAGACAAUUCUGAAUGCCAUAGAUUAGAUUAUUUUUGGUCUAUAAAUGAAAGUGUAAGCAUUCCACCUUAGGAGUAAUGUGGCAACACAGGAACUGAAAUCAUUAGACCGUUUCUGAAACCAGUAGUGAAGUAUGUUAUUUAAAUAGAUGGUCCACAAAAAACCUUACCACAACUUGAAUAAUUUAUAGCUCAUACAAGCGUUGCACGGCUGUCUUCAGUUAAUGUCGUGAGAUUAGGUUAACUCCAUUAAUUAACGUAAACCCUUACUUUAUUUUUUUUUU